UGGGGAAUAUUGGACAAUGGGCGAAAGCCUGAUCCAGCCAUGCCGCGUGUGUGAAGAAGGUCUUCGGAUUGUAAAGCACUUUAAGUUGGGAGGAAGGGCAUUAACCUAAUACGUUAGUGUUUUGACGUUACCGACAGAAUAAGCACCGGCUAACUCUGUGCCAGCAGCCGCGGUAAUACAGAGGGUGCAAGCGUUAAUCGGAAUUACUGGGCGUAAAGCGCGCGUAGGUGGUUUGUUAAGUUGGAUGUGAAAUCCCCGGGCUCAACCUGGGAACUGCAUUCAAAACUGACUGACUAGAGUAUGGUAGAGGGUGGUGGAAUUUCCUGUGUAGCGGUGAAAUGCGUAGAUAUAGGAAGGAACACCAGUGGCGAAGGCGACCACCUGGAGUAAUACUGACACUGAGGUGCGAAAGCGUGGGGAGCAAACA
rnacentral:rRNA from 1 species